rnacentral:rRNA from 1 species
AGGAAUAUUGGUCAAUGGGCGGGAGCCUGAACCAGCCAAGUCGCGUGAGGGAAGACGGUCCUAUGGAUUGUAAACCUCUUUUGUCGGGGAAGACAAAGAGGCCACGUGUGGUUCAAAAGCGAGAGUACCCGAAGAAAAAGCAUCGGCUAACUCCGUGCC